rnacentral:rRNA from 1 species
CACGCUGUAAACGAUGAUCACUAGACGUCGGUCUUGCGUUGCAAGAUCGGUGUCGUAGCUAACGCGUUAAGUGAUCCGCCUGGGGAGUACGGUCGCAAGACUAAAACUCAAAGAAAUUGACGGGGGUCCGCACAAGCGGUGGAACAUGUGGUUUAAUUCGACACUACGCGAGGAACCUUACCUAGGCUUGACAUUCUUUUGACAGCUGCGGAAACGCAGUCUUUCGGGUUUACUCGAACAAUUGAACAGGUGC